GAUUUCUGGUAUGGUGCGCCUGGUCCACCGGAGCAAUCCGUGUGAGUGCCGGUGUGCGCCUGCCAUCCUUGUACAGAACGGCUCUACCCUUCAUUGGGUCGGAGUCGCCAUGUGCAUCUUUUACUUUGAAAAAAUUAGAGUGUUUAAAGCAGGCUUGCGCCAUGAAUACAUUAGCAUGGAAUAAUAAUUUAGGACUUUGUUUCUAUUUUGUUGGUUUCUAGAGAUGAAGUAAUGAUUGAUAGGGAUAGUUGGGGGUGCUAGUAUUCAUCGGCCAGAGGUGAAAUUCUUGGAUUCGAUGAAGACUAACUUAUGCGAAAGCAUU
rnacentral:rRNA from 1 species